rnacentral:rRNA from 1 species
UACGUAGGGUGCGAGCGUUAAUCGGAAUUACUGGGCGUAAAGCGUGCGCAGGCGGUUCGUUAAGUCAGCUGUGAAAGCCCCGAGCUUAACUUGGGAAUUGCGGUUGAAACUGGCGGACUAGAAUCUGGCAGAGGGGGGUGGAAUUCCACGUGUAGCAGUAAAAUGCGUAGAGAUGUGGAGGAACACUGAUGGCGAAGGCAGCCCCCUGGGCUGAGAUUGACGCUCAGGCACGAAAGCGUGGGGAGCAAACAGG